rnacentral:rRNA from 1 species
UGGCAGACGGGUGAGUAACACGUGGGCAAUCUGCCUUCGAGAGGGGGAUAACUCCGGGAAACCGGAGCUAAUACCGCGUAAGACCACGUCCCGGCAUCGGGAUGGGGCUAAAGCUCCGCAAGGGGCGCUUGAAGAGGGGUCCACGGCCUAUCAGCUAGUUGGCGGUGUAAUAGACCACCAAGGCUACGACGGGUAGCCGGUCUGAAAGGACGACCGGCCACAAUGGCACUGAGACACGGGCCAUACUCCUACGGGAGGCAGCAGUGGGGAAUUUUGCGCAAUGGGGGAAACCCUGACGCAGCAAUGCCGCGUGGAGGACGAAGGUCUUCGGAUUGUAAACUCCUUUUAGAGGGGACAAAUGUCUGCGUGAAUAACGCAGAAUGAUGGUACUCUCUGAAUAAGCCACGGCUAACUUCGUGCCAGCAGCCGCGGUAAGACGAAGGUGGCAAGCGUUACUCGGAAUUACUAGGCGUAAAGCGUGGGCAGGUGGUUCGGUUAGUCUGUUGUGAAAGCCUUGGGCUUAACCCAGGGAGGCCAAUGGAUACUGCCGGACUUGAAUGUGGGAGGGGUGACUGGAAUUCCCGGUGUAGCGGUGAAAUGCGUAGAGAUCGGGAGGAACACCAAUGGCGAAGGCAGGUCACUGGACCACUAUUGACACUCAUCCACGAAAGCUGGGGGAUCAAACAGGAUUAGAUACCCUGGUAGUCCCAGCUGUAAACGAUGCACACUAGGUGUGGGGGGGUAUCGACCCCUUCCGCGCCGACGCAACGCAUUAAGUGUGCCGCCUGGGGAGUACGGCCGCAAGGUUGAAACUCAAGGAAUUGACGGGGGCCCGCACAAGCGGUGGAUCAUGUGGUUUAAUUCG